CUCAGGAGAGACUGAGUGGUCUUGCUCAGUUUGUUGUAUGGUCUGGGUUGUCUUGAUUAGAAUAAAUAAUGACCUUCACAAAGAGUAUUCAGGGCUUUUUCAUUUAAUGAGAUAUAAGAAAUAAUGACUUGAACAUAAUGGCAUAUAAAUUCAGCAAAGAAAUAUUACAUACUUUCUUACUGUAUAAUAAUAAACAAUGGAACCAAAUGAAAAUGUAGAUAUUUCAUUUCUGGAUGGUUUUCUGGAAAGUGCUGUUUACUUCUGUAGACUAAGGAAAGCGAUAUGAGUUCAUGAUUUUUCUUGGCUUUAACAUCUAUCAUUAGCUCCCAACAUUCAACUUGUUUAUUUUGAAAUAGAGCCUGCAUAACUAGCCUUUUGUUAUUGUGGUGAGGACUGAUUGGAAUUGCAUAACAUAGAGCAAAAUUUGUCUGUUAUUUUAUUUAUCCUUAAAAGAAAGAUAAAAGAUACGUGUAGGAGGCUCUGUAAACAUUAAUAGUGUGUUUCUUGUUAAGACUCCCAGAAUACUGGUGGAAAUGGACAUGCUCCUGCAAAACUGAACAAAACAGAAAAUGAAAUGAGGGGAAGUAUGCAAAAACAUUCCCAUAAUGUUAUGUGUUGUGGCUUAACACCGAUGGGCAGCUAGGCACCACACAGGACCUCUCUCACUUCCCUUCCUCAAAAAGGAUAGAGGGAGAAAAAUACCAAGGAAAAGUUCAUGGAUUGAGAUUAAGGCAAAGAGAUCCCCCACCAAUUACAACCAUGGGCAAAACAGACUCAGCAUAGAGAAGAUUAGUGUAAUUUCCUGCCAAUUAGUAAAAAACAAUAGCAGUGAUUACUGAAUUUAAACUAAAAUCAUCAUCCUAUUUAUCUUUUCUAUUUUCUCCCCUCAAGAGACUCUGGUAAAUAGGGAUGCAGUCAGUUCCUAGUGCUUCAUCACUGCCACUCUUCGUCCUCACUCUUCCAGUGCUCCUUUGUGAGGUCUCUCCCAUGGGAUGCAGUACUUCACUGACAGAUCCAGAGUGAGUUUACCACAGGUUGCAGUUCUUCAAGACUUCCAGAUGGUCCCUUCCAAUCUAAACCAUUCUCUGAUUUUGAAACCGCUGCAACAUCAAUCCGUACCACAGGACCCCAUCUUCAGGAGCAGACUGCUCCAGCAUGGGUCCUCUCAUGGGUGGCAGAUCCUCCAGACUUCUUGCUCCACCAUGGGCUCCUCCACAGGCUGUUCAUGGAAAUCUGCUCCAGGUGGUGCCCAUGGGCUGCAGGGAACUUCUGCUCCAUGCCUGGAGCACCUACUGCCUUCCUUCUGCACUGACCGUGGUGGUUUCAGGGCUGUUUCUCUCAGAGUAUCUUACUCCUCUCUCCCAGCUGCUGUUGCAAGAUAUGUUUUCCCUUCCUUCAGUCUGCUCUUCUAGAAGCACACUCAGUAUUUCUCAUCACUCAGCUCUGGCCAGUGGUAGAUCCCUUUUGGAGCAGCUGGAGCUGGCUCUUACCUGACAAGGGGCAGCUUCUGGCGUCUUCCCACAGAGGCAAAUCAUACGGUCCCUCUGUACCAGAAUCUUCACACUUAAACCCUAUACAUGCUGUUUGCAUUCAAGAAUUAGAGAUGAAGCAGUAGUUGUUACACUAAAAAAGUACAAAAUGCUGUAUGAGAGCGAGUGUAGAAAUGAUUGGGAAGUGAAACUGUUGUUAAGGUUGUCUUUUGUGAAUCUAGGCUUCCGGGAAAUGGUAUUACAUUGGUUACUCCUUGCUACAAGUGAGACAUUUUCUCCCUGAGAGUUAAUCACAGAACUCUGCAGCUUUACUGUAGCUUUCUCUCAGCUUUUCUCUCCUCUGACUCCGCUCUUCCUCUGGUCAUAUCCUCCCUGCUGCAACUUCUUAUCUAACCUCAGCUUCCCACUUAAGUGGGAGUAUCUUAAGUAUCUGCAAGGAUACUUAAGAGGGGGGAAGCUUCCUAUUAAGCCGUUCUCAUGCUGGGAUGUUUGCCUACUUACUAAUAGAGACUGGAUUUAGUAUGUCUGCAGAGAGAGAUGUCUUACUGCAGUCUGAGAUCCAAUAAAUCAGGCAGUGACUCCACAAAUACUUCAAGCCAAAGGAGGAGGCCUCCAUCACAUCCCAGGGCCUGGUUCACAGUUUUUGUAUUACAUCCUUUAUGCUGGCAAAGGAGUUCACAUACCUGUGGAGUGAAUAAAACCAAGCAACUAGGAUAUGGCAAAAGAGAGCAAAUUUAGUUUUCUUGUGCCUUCACAAGUGCUUUUGUUUGCAAAAGAAAAGCAUCAGCAAGGGCAGAAACGUUCUUUUCCCAAGUUAGUCAGCUUAAGUUAUCCUUCAAAAAGAGCCACUUGAAAAGCAGCUGCAUACUCAUAGCUGAUCUAGUUGUACUGAGGAGGCAGAUAAGCACUGUUUGAGGUGUCGGCCGUCAGAUAGAUCUGCCUCAUUCACACAGUUCGGGCUUCUAUUUAAAAAAAAAAAAUACAACAACAGAAAAAACACACAGAAAUCUUACCUUUAGAGUAAACUGUAUAAGUGGGUUUAGAAGCUAAGUCCACGAUUGUAAUUUUGAUCUGAAAGCAUCCACCUGAGACCUAUCCCUCAAAGGCAAAAACAAUCAGUCAGUGGGAAUAAUGGAGUUUGGUCUCAAGGUCCAGAGAAUAUGUAAAUACAUCAAGUGGGUGUGUAUGUGGUUUUAUUUUUCCUCUAACUGAUCCUUUUCAGGCUACUAGGGUACUUUACUGGGAAAAGAGUGGGAGGUCAGAUGUGAAAGGGUGGGUAUACAGGCGGGUUUGUAUGUAGAUGUAAAAUGUUCUAUCUCAUUGGAGAGUGUUCAAGUGCAGAAGUGAUUCUCUUUCAGAGCUCCACAGGGCUCCAUUAUGGUUUCUCUUACAGUCUUGGACUGUCGUGGAAUUCCUGUUUCUGCACUCCUUUUGCUUUAAGUAGAAGCAAGAGCUGGCAAGAAACAACCUUCAAUGUCUAUCUGUCUUACUAGCUUUCCUUGAACUCCAGGGCAGAGAACAUUGAGAAGCACCUUCCCACAGCCUGAGUUUCUUGUUGUCUGCCUUGAACCUGUGUAAGCUAGCUUAACUGAUUUUACCAGAAGUGAAUUUAGAAAUACUCCCAGGGAGUACUUCGCCAAUAAAUCCAAGGACAAAAGAACUUCACAUAUGCACAUGGCCAGAGGAAGGCAAGCAGCUAAGGAAAAUGUC
ensembl:lncRNA